UGCUGCCCAGCUCUGGCUUUCCACGUACUUGGUCCAAGAUCCUAGCGCCAGGAAUGGUUCUGCCCAUAGUGGGUCAACCAGAGAUACUCAAAAGGAUCUAAAAAAAAAAAA